ACGUACUCCGCCUUAUCAUGACUUUUUUAGUUUCUACGGCCAUAAUUGAGAGAUCCUUUUCAGUAAUGAAGAUUAUCAAGACUAGAUGGAAAGUGGGUUUCUAAACAAUAGCACGACGGUUUAUAUCGAAAGGGAAAUUAGUGCAAGUAAUUGAAGGAUUUGAUAUUCAUGGUAUAAAAAGGUCUUUGAUUAUAUGAAAGUUCUUGAUACAAAGAAUUCUCCCAAUGAUGCAGAAAAUUUAUGAUGGAAAUGGUACAGAAAUUUGCUUGGUUUUUCAUGGAAAUGUUAUGUUGUGGUAUAAUUCAAGCUUCAGGCACAGUUCAAAUGCUUUAAAGAGGAAGAGCAAACCAAUGAGCAGGUGAUGAUGGAAAGGGAAAUAGCACAAAAGAAGAACUUUCUAAGGGUUUGACUUGAGAGUGUAUAAUACUGUGAUUUUUGUGUAUAUCUGAAGGUUAUUCUUUCUGAUGCAAAUGUUCCCGGUGAAGAGGAUUAUGAACUUUUUAAUUUUGUUUAAUGUUUUCUACCUCUGAUUCUGUUUGAUUCAAUGUUUGGUAGAUUGGAUUUUGAGAUUGUGAAAGUGAGAUUUUUUGACUUAGUUUGUGUUUUUGAGUGACUGUGUUAUCAAUACAACUUUUUAUUUCCAUUUUGUCUGAUGAUCAUAAUUUUUGUAUACAGAGGCGAAGAGACAGGAUAAAUGAGAAGAUGUGUGCAUUGCAAGAACUCAUACCUAAUUGCAAUAAGUGUUAGUGUGUUUGGUGUCUCAGUAGAAUCAAUGCAAUGUUCUUAUGAUUCAAAAGGAAACAGUGUCCCCGCUAUUCUGUUACUGAUGCAGGAGAGGUUAUACUCACAGGGGAGGACUAAAGGCUGCAGGAAUAUUUUGUAUAAAUCUAGAAAACGGUGAAGAGGAACAUUUGAGGGAGCAAUUCAAUAGUGGCAUUGUGCCAAUUGACAUUGAUGUACAUUGCUUGGCUGGCUUAAUUAAAGCAUGGUUUAGGGAACUUCCUUCAGGAGUGUUAGAUGGACUUUCACCUGAGGAAGUUCUUGAAUGCAACACUGAAGAAGAAUUUGUUGAGCUUGUGAAGCUGCUGAAACCAGUUGAAUCAGCUUUGCUUAAUUGGGCUGUUGAUCUUAUGGCUGAUGUUGUAGUUGAAGAGGAGUAUAACAAAUUGAAUGCUAUAAAUAUUGCUAUGGUUUUUGCUCCAAAUAUGACUCAGGUAUGCUUAUGUGCUUGCACUUUUUGUGUAUAUAAAUCAUGUAUCCCCUGCAAGAAAUCACAGAGAACCUGUAGAAGAUAAUUUAAAAGAAAACAACAAUGUUUCAUAAGAGUGAUAGAGAUUAUCAAAUUUGACUUGCAAAUUAGAUUUAAGUUCUAUUGCCACCUACUAUAUGCAACACAAUGACUUAUUUUCUCUAUUUGUUUGUUUUCUGUCAGAGAAGCAUAUAGAAUUCUAUAAGAAAGUUCUAAGUAGUUUUUAAAGCAGCUAAACCCGCAGAUCCAUGUUUGUAACAUUCAUUUUCGUUGUGUUCUGCAUUAGAGGUUAUUAUUUAAACAAAAGGUUAACUGUGAAGCACUUUUUUUCUUCUUUUGCCUUUGGAAAGGCAUGGCAUACUGAUGUUCUAUUGGACUUCAUCUGAUUGAUAAAUUGAGCAGCACAUUAAUUCAGAGAUGAAAGUGCUGAUUAUGAAGCAUACGCCGAAACUGCAAAAGAAAAUGCUGAUCAUGAAGCAAAUGUUGAAAUUGCACAAGAUGUUUGAGAAGACAAGUUCCAUGAAAGCUGAGAAUGCAGACCAUGAUAAGACUUGCGACUAUUUCGAAAGCGCAAGAAAAUGAAAUGACAAUUUCGCAGACAUCCGAAACCGAACUUGUAUUUUUGUUUCUCUUAUCAAAAAGCUUGAAUAAUUUUAGGGUUAAUAGUGUUUUUCAUCUCUAUAAUAUAUGUCAUUUCCAGUUUUUCCUCCUAUAAAAUUUUCGGUUUGA